CCGCCCGUAGCUCAUCCGGAUAGAGCAACGGAUUUCUAAUCCGUAGGUAGCUGGUUCGAGUCCAGCCGGGCGGGCCA
rnacentral:tRNA from 1 species